rnacentral:tRNA from 1 species
UAGUAAGAGGAAAAUCCGUCGAUUUCAAAAAUCAUGAGGGUUCAAGUCCCUCUAUCCCCAA